UCGGGAAUUUAGGGCAAUGGGCGAAAGCCUGACCCAGCAACGCCGCGUGAGGGAUGAAGUAUUUCGGUAUGUAAACCUCGAAAGAAUGGGAAGAAUAAAUGACGGUACCAUUUAUAAGCUCCGGCUAACUACGUGCCAGCAGCCGCGGUAAUACGUAGGGAGCAAGCGUUGUUCGGAUUUACUGGGCGUAAAGGGCGCGUAGGCGGCGCGGUAAGUCACUUGUGAAAUCUCUGAGCUUAACUCAGAACGGCCAAGUGAUACUGCUGUGCGAGAGUGCGGAAGAGGCAACCGGAAUUCUUGGUGUAGCGGUGAAAUGCGUAGAUAUCAAGAGGAACACCUGAGGCGAAGGCGGGUUGCUGGGCCGACACUGACGCUGAUGCGCGAAAGCCAGGGGAGCAAACG
rnacentral:rRNA from 1 species